rnacentral:rRNA from 1 species
GAUGAACGCUGGCGGCGUGCUUAACACAUGCAGGUCGAACGGUGAAGCAGGAGCUUGCUCCUGUGGAUCAGUGGCGAACGGGUGAGUAACACGUGAGCAAUCUGCCCUGGACUCUGGGAUAAGCGUUGGAAACGACGUCUAAUACCGGAUACGAGGCGUGGGGGCAUCCCCAACGCCUGGAAAGAACUUCGGUCCAGGAUGAGCUCGCGGCCUAUCAGGUAGUUGGUGAGGUAACGGCUCACCAAGCCGACGACGGGUAGCCGGCCUGAGAGGGUGGCCGGCCACACUGGGACUGAGACACGGCCCAGACUCCUACGCGAGGCAGCAGUGGGGAAUAUUGCACAAUGGGCGCAAGCCUGAUGCAGCAACGCCGCGUGAGGGACGACGGCCUUCGGGUUGUAAACCUCUUUUAGCAGGAAAGAGGCGAAAGUGACGGUACCUGCAGAAAAAGCACCGGCUAACUACGUGCCAGCAGCCGCCGUAAGAC